UUUAACUAAAGAAGAAGCAAAGCCGCGAGGUAGAGCAAAUCUCAAAAAACAAUCUCAGUUCAGACUGCAGGCUGCAACUCGCCUGCACGAAGUCGGAAUUGCUAGUAAUCGUAGGUCAGCAUACUACGGUGAAUACGUUCCCGGGCCUUGUACACACCGCCCGUCAAACCAUGAGAGUUGGCAACACCCGAAGUCGGUAGUCUAACCGCAAGGAGGACGCCGCCGAAGGGUGGGGUUGAUGAUUAGGGUUAAGUCGUAACAAGGUAAC
rnacentral:rRNA from 1 species